rnacentral:pre_miRNA from 1 species
UUUUCAGUAUAAGUAUAUCCCAUGAAAUAUUUGGGACAAAUUUGUACUAAAA